rnacentral:rRNA from 1 species
CUCCCUGCGGUUUGGUCCAUCCGCCUGCCACUGAAAAUCCGGAUAUUCAUGUGGCAAUGGAUCCGCGGAAGGAUUCCGUCGGGGGUGGAGGUCCGCAAACGCAAUGGCCCUGGGUCCGACCUCUGUCCUUUGUGUGGUACCCCCGAAGAUUCGAAUCACAUCUUCUUCUCCUGUGUCUCAGCUCAAUUCAUGUGGAGCUGCUUUAGGGAGGUUGUGGGAGGUGAUUGGUGUCACACCAACUUCCCGACCUCUUCGCCGAACUCCAGAACUCCCCUCUGCCCUCUCGCCACAUUAGGUGGCUCGAGGUUGGGGUGCUCGCGUGGACUCUUUGGACGAUUCGCAAUAAGCUUGUGA